AGAGUCUCUCAAUUCCAACUCUCUCUCUCUCUAAUCAUCCUUGGAAUUCCCUUUGUCUUCCUCUCUCACUCAUCAAACCUUCUCAAUCGCCCCGCCCAACCAUCAUAUGUAUUUAUACAUACACCCAAAGCGAUCACACAUCAUCAAGAAUUAUACAUGCUGUUUGGAUUUUCCUUUGAAUGAAUGAAGAGAAAAUCAUUAUACCAAAUUCCAACCCACAAAUAUUGAUUUUGUAGCAGUUGAAGAAAAUUAGAAAAUGACGGAGCUUUGAUAAUUAAGCUUUCUCUUUCUUAUCAUUCACGAACAAACUUGUUUCAUCAUUCGUAUGAUCAACAAACAAAGUAGACUAACUUAGGCUUUGUUUGUUUUGAUGUGUCAUUUAGAUCUCAUGGUGGAGACUAAUUAAGCAACUUUGUGAAAUCCGCCAAACAACUCAUCUAUGAGUCCCUUUCUUUCUCUUAAUUUCGAUCCUUAAUCUUUUGUGAAAUUAUUAGAAUUCUCUGUUCCGCAUAAUCUGGUGGGAAAUGACUGAAAAUCCAAAGAUGGUAAGCAUAGUUUUUCCCAGCUUUCUUUUCUUCUUUAUGCGGGUAUUUUUUUUUUUUUUUCUCCCUCGAAAUUCUUGUGUUGAUAAAACACCAUAUCUUUAGACACAAACGUAACCGUCUAUAAUUUUUUUUUUUAAUUAUUAUUUAUUUUAGGAAACAAUGUUCUCUCAUAAUCUAAGAGCAAAUUGUGAAGCUGGUGAGCUUUCUGAUCAUGUAAAUGGAUUGCAAUCCACAACCAUUAAAUCUAAUCCUUUGUGUUAGAUAUUGAACGCUUAGAGAAGGAUAUUAAUGCAAAUUCAAGAAUUAAAGUAAGUUUUUUCUUUCUUAAUUUGAUCAUUUCUGGGAUUAUGCCUUUAUUCCUUCUCUGUACUUUGGCUUUCUUUUUGUUUAGAUUUCCAAAAACAAACUAUCUAUGUGCCAUAAAAAAAGGGCUACUCUUUCUGUUUAUGUGCGCGCUUUUGGAUGAUAAGUUGCAGAGAAGCAUUUCAAGAAAAGGAACAUUCAGAGGAGUCGAGAAGAAAAAUACAGCCAACGAGAAAUACAUUAGUGUCAUUGCAACUUCCACGAGAGGUAACCGUUACUCCUUUUUCUCUUUUGUCAUUUUUUGUCAUCUCAAAAUCAUAUGUUUUUGCGUUAGAUUUACACCUAAUGUCCAGUCGAAGUAGUCUAUUUUAUCCAAUUAUGAGAAAGUUCCAAUAAAAAUGGCCUCCAAGUUCAUGUAUAUUUGUGUUUCUUGGUGCCUAUGGCAUGGUAGAGGCCAAAACCUGCUUAGGUCACAAUCGAGACACCAUUAAGUAGCUUGUGUACUAUCUUGUAUUCACGUUCUUAAUAUCAUCUAAACAGAGUGUCUGAACAUUAUAUGAUGAUGAUUUCAAUUAUUAUCGGAUAUUGAUCCAAAUGACAGGUGAUGGGCAGCUAUAAAUCAUUAAAAUUUAAUCAAUCAGCCCCCACGCACCUACCCACAUCCUCUGUUUCUUAUGGUACUGUCAUGUUUCUGCAUUAUCACUCGAUGAAUUAGGACAUGGUUAGUAAAUUGAAUACUUAAUCCGAGCGUGGAUUUCUUAAAUUUUCUAAGUGAUUGCGAGGAGACUUGAACGCUAAACUAAGCAGCCGAGGAACACAUUAUGAUGUAAUUUUAAUUUGGUUCGAUAUCUAGGUUAUUAGAUAGGCACUGCAAUUAGCAUUUAAUGAUAUUGAUGAUUUCUCAAUCAAGAUCUGUUACUCGGUAUCCAAUUGACAAUCAAUGAAUUCUAGAUUUAUUAAAUUCUCGAGUAUCUUUAAAAUCAACAUGUUGUUAAGGCUCUUUUUGUUCACCUUAAGUACUUAAUUCAGCUUCACUCAGGGUCGGCCUUAGGCCUAGGCCAAGUCUUUGUUUAAAAUAUAAAUAUAUUAUUUAUUUAAACAUUUAAAUAUUUUUAUGUUUGAAAAAAUUUACGUUUAAAGGCCUCAUAAUGAUGAGUCCCCUAAGGCCUCAAAAUUCUUGGGGCCGACCCUAGCUGCAUUGUAAACUUUGAUUCAAUGUACACCUCUUCUAGCUUAAUCCUUUAGUAAGAUCAUCAGCAAAGAAAAGUUUAAAGUAUAAACACAUAUUUCUGUCUCAUUUCUUUUUGUUCAAUGCGCAAUUGGAUACAUAUAAUUUGCAUUAUGGGAAAAUUUGGGUAAUGGCAAGCUAACAUAUUCUGCAUGGUAUCCAAACUGCAGCUGCUUUACUUGGUGGUGGCACGCCGGAAAAGCCCCUAAUUGUGGCUAUGGGCGGAUGCGAUAAUUUCACCAGCCCGCCAGUUCACAAUCAGAUCACUAUCAUGGGAAACCCUGCUGUCGAAAGCAAAUUUGGUGGCAAAAUAUUCAGUUUCGGAAGGUCUUCUCCUUCAUGGACAAUUGACCCCAGAAGGAUACUUCUCUUCUUCGCAACUCUGUAAGUUUGUUCUUCAUUUCUUUUCAGCACCACCUAAGACAACUCACAUUUUGCAGAGGUUCUCAUUUUCUACAGGUCAAGCAUGGGGACCAUAUUGCUGAUCUAUUGCACCUUACACAUGAGCAAACACAACGGGGAUUACAAUGCCCUCAAUUGAUAAUUAUUAGCCUCCCAGUUAGAUGUGGGCAAAACUCGACCGAACCCGCUCAAACUGCCCAAACCUACCCAACCCGGUUGAGGGGGCAAUACCCGACCGAACCUACUCAAACAGCCCAACCCGACCGGGUUGGGUCGGUUUUUUUUUUUUUUAAGUGGGUUUCGGUUUUUUGAUUGUGUAGGUGGGUCGGGUUGGGUUGUGGGUUAACUCAUAAAAACCGACCCAACCCGCCUAUUUAAAAAGAAAAAAAGAAAGGAAAGGAAAAGAGAAAUAAAUUGCCUAAACGUAAAAUCGCUAUUUUCAAGAUUUAAAGUUUCAUAAAAUUAUAACAAGAAUCCCAUUAUAAUUUAUAAUAGACAAAUUUUUAUAUUGAAUUUCUGAAAUCACAAUAUAUAACUCAAUACUUCAAUUAGGUCUUCCCGUAAUCUCUAUCUCUUAGGAUAAUUAAGUUUUGUACUGAUUUACAAAAGUAUCUUGUAGAAUGAUUAUAUGAAUUAUGGACAUAAAUGUUAAAGAAAAAAUAAAUUUUAAGAUUCUAUAUAGAGUCUUGAUCUAACUUCUAAAUAAAUCGAUUUCUCACAUUUCAAAUAAGCUUGUGAAGCAUAAUUUUCUUGUUAUUGCCAAAAACUAUUAAAGAUUUGAGAUAAAUAAUAAUUAAGAAGUUAAAUUCGAAAAAAAAUAAAAAUUUGGCUACCAGCAGAACCAUCUAUCUUGCUUUUUGGUUUGGUAUCAAUUUAAUAAGUAUUGUUGUCUGUUGUGCAAACUUGUUUUGUUAAUCUAGGUUUGUUGAUGAGCCUGUAGAUCCGAAACAGGAACUUUUGAAGAGCAAUGCAAGGCACCAUGCACUCGACCACUCAAAGAAUAUCAAGUUAAUAAACCUUCCUUUUUUGUUUUUUCUAAUUUAAUGUCUACUUCUCCAUUUUUCAAUUUUCCUACCUUUUGUGUUCUUUUCAACUAAUACUUAAUAUUGCUGAAGCCUAAAUGAAAUGUUUUAUACAUUUUACAGUUUUUAGUUUUUUGUUCGCUCUUCUUUUUGUUUGAUUAUAUGGUAAUAAAUUACAAUUUGUCCAACCCAACCGAUACUUGAUUGGGUUGGGUUGGUUUGAUUUUAGAUCAACAAAAACCGACCUAACCCAAUCCACGCCCACCACUACUCCCAGUCCCCCACUUUUACUUCUUAGAGGGCUUCAUUAAGAGAUGGUUAUAAUAUUUGGCUGCUUUCGCUACAAACAGAGUUACACCGACCUUCCAUUGGCAUGGGCAUCAAAUUUGGCAGAUUUCACUUUUUUCCGCCUAACUAAUUUUUUUGCUAGUAUAAUAUUUGAACAGGACAACAGCAGAUAACACUAAGACAAAGAACACAAGAUAUCUAUACCUUUUACAUAGGAUAUGGUGCACUAAUUUGAUGUGAAAGACUUAUGAUCCAGUAAAUUCUUCCGUUGAAAAAAGUGUACAUCUAUAUUCUACAAACGAGGAUCUAAUUAUUUCACAAAAGGAACCUUGCAAGUCCCACUUUAUAGCCAAAACAUUUGACAUCGUUUUGCACUUGUUGUCUGUAUUCUCUGAAGCUAAAUUUUCUAUAGGCGGAAGGUUCAACACAGCUCUGUAUAACAGUGUCAUAAGAUGGACACAGGAAGUAUGCAGUCGAGAACCUCUCCUGUAGCUUAUUAGCCACAACCCGGUGGUGAACGCUUUUAUAUACAUUGUUGCUCCAAACCUGCAUUCAUUUUCAGACAUUAUUAAGCUACUAAAAUGAAAAAGAGUGUUACUAUUUAGCACCAAAAUCCUGCUAUGCGUACAGGAAAAGAGCUGCCAGGCCUUUUACAAGGAGCACAUGGCAGUUUUUGACUGAAAACCACCUAGGGAUGGCAAAAAAGCCCCGAACCCACCCCAUGAAGAUAAAGAAAAAAAUAAAAAUAAUUUUAUUUCUAGAAAAUUUAUCGGUUGAAGACCCAUUUUAAAUUUGUAUUUUAUUUUCUAAUUAUAAUAUAACUCGAAAUUUUAAAAAUGUAAAAAAUAAAAAAAUAAAUGGGGCAAAAAGUUGCCCCGCCCGCCCCCGCGGGGCGCGGUGGGAUUUUAGAGAGACGGGGCGGGAGCGUCCGUACCCGCCCCAUUGCCAUCUGUUUACUAUCGUGAUUAUGUCUAACAUCGGUUUAGGUGACAGUUUUUUACAGGGAGUAGGCAAAAACAAAAGCCACUAUUGGUGUGUUUAGCAUCAGUCUAUAUGACAACACUAAUGGCAUUAAAUUAGAGGUCUAAUUAAAUAAAAUGAAUUAUGGCCCACUUCAUAAGAGCUUUGAUAUACUGACAUCUAGACUAACGUACAAUAUCAUCGGUGUCAAACCAUUUCCCAUCUUUAACUAAUUGCAAGCCUCCAACGUGAUCUUGGUGCAAUAUUGUGAGAAAAUCGCUAUCAGUGUGUACCAUCAGCCCAAACAUUUGAGUUGAAAUUUGGCACACUGGAUAUCUGUUCAUUCGAAUAAAGCAAGUUUUUGCGAACACGUUUCUUUGAAGAAUGUUGUGUAAUUUUGACCCAAUUUCUUCACUAAAAUUACCGACACCUAGACUAAUGUACAAUAUCAACGGUGAUAGAUACAUUAUUCAAUAAAAAAAAGUAGGCAUGCAAAGUACAAAGCCUUGGUGGCGGACGGUGAGAUUUUGGCAAAAAAACUGUAAUUUAGUAGCUCAAACGAGCACAUUUUUUAUCAUUUCAUUAAAUGAUAAAAUAUACCUGAAAUAAAUCUCCGAUGUUGAUAAUGAGAGCCUGUGGAUUGGGUUUAACAGCAAUCCAUUUCCCAUCUUUGACUAAUUGCAAGCCUCCAAUGUGAUCUUGGUGCAAUAUUGUGAGGAAAUCGCUAUCAGUGUGUGGCAUUAGGCCAAACAUUUGAGUUGAAAUUGGGCAUGUUGGAUAUCUGUUCAUUCGAAUAAAACAAGUGCUUUGCAAACACGUUUCUUUGAAGAAUGUUGAGUAAUUUUGACCCAAUUUCUCCACUAAAAUUUCUGCCAACUUUUGUGCUAGCUCAGACACUUUUGCCGCAAAUUGUUCCAUUGUUGAUCUGAAUUCAGUAAAAGGAUGGGAUCUUAAUACCAAGUUUCGCUCUCAUCACAUAACCUUUUAAAAUUUUAUUGUUGAUACUUAAAAUAUUGAUCAACAAAUUCUUCUUACCUAUUCAGGAUUUUCUCCUCAUAAUCUCAUUAUUCUACUGCUCAAUGUGAAGCAAAAAGAGAAAUGACUAUCUGGAAUGAAGCUAUUCAAAUUCAAUAUACCAUUCUUCAUUUUAGGUAUGCCUAUUUAUAUAUAUCUAUUCAGCUAUUGAGGGCAAAUGAGUCUUUUUAGUUGAUGACAUGUGGCUUUCAUUGAUUGACUGACUUUCAACUAACUCUAUUAUCUAUUCACGUUUUAUUCACCAACUUAAUCCUUACGUUUUUGUUCAAGUAUAUUGGCUUGCAUUAUAUAUCUAAGAUCGCUUACGAGGUUACCCCUUAUGAAUGCUUUUUAAGUUUAUUUUGAGUUUGCAUAUAUUUUUGACUUCUUCAAGCACGCUUAGAUAAAUGUUUCAUGUAUAACACUGAUGUGAUGGAGAAAGAAAGAAACUUUUUUGCUCAUGAUUUGAGGCUUGUGAAUUACCUGAGUGUGCAGAGGCCACCAGAACCCAAUAUAUCACUCAAAGACACAUGAUAAGCUUCCGACCAAGACAGCUGCCUCAGGUAAUUCGGUGAUGGCGUCCCCCAAGUAUAACUCCCCAUCGAGAACUUGGGAUCAUUGCCAUUUGUCUUCUCAUUAAACGGCUUCUUAAAAGCCUUCAUUUGUUCUGUUCUCAUUUUCUCCAAUACUUGGCUGGAAAUUCCGUGGUUUACGACUUGGAAAAAGCCCCAUUCUCGGGAAGCUUUAGCUAUCUGUCUCUUGCAUGCUUCUCUCUCGGAAUCUCCGAGGUUUAACAUGUUGAGAUCAAUCAGUGGGAGUUCGCAUUCAUCAACUAAAAGCUCCUCAGAACUCUUUGCUAAUUCUACUUCAGUCAAACUGUCGAAGAGGUUUUUAUAUUUUUCUUGAAAUGGUGGAUCGGGGGAUUCUUCUCCCAUUCUUAUAGGCUGAAGAAGGAAAAAUCUGUUGCUGAACCCAAACAUUAAGAAGAAAUAUAUAUUAGUAAGGUGAAAGUCGGUAUACCAUAUUCUAUUGAAAUGGACAACUCACAGUUAAUUACCAAGCCUAGGAUGAAAGGUCAUAUUUUGCAAUAGCUCCAUUUAUUUUUCAUUUAUAAAGAUCAUUAUAUGAAAACAAAAUGUAAAUUAAUACAGAUAGGUAGUAAGCAAGUGUAUGCACCUAAAGAUGAAGAACUGUUGAAUUUAAACACUAAAGAAAUAGAAUUUUAUUGAUGAAUGGACUUUGCACAAUAUUGGGUACAUGCCAAAAUCACUGACCACCUUAUAAUAUAUAUAGCCAUGAAUGGCGGUGGGACUGUCGAUAGCAAGCAUUCUAGUUCCCCGCACGAAACAAACAAGAUUCCUUGAAGAUUAAGAAAAUGAUCUUAUCUGAUACUAAAAAUGAUGCUCCCAGGAUUAACCACAGAAUAAAAAGAAAGAAAGGCAGAAGAAUAUCUAAAGGAGCAGUAAUCUUUGUUGACUUACAUAGAAAAAAAUAGCUUUUGAGUUGCCCUGGAAGAUUGGAAGCUAGAUAUUCAAAGCGUAAAGUGCACCAGGCACAAGGCAUUUCAGUUUUGAAUUUCAGGGAGAUAGAUGGAGAUCAUGUGAUUUAAGCCCAUAUUUAUGUAGAAUACAUCAUUUUUCGGAGAAUAUAUGGUCGAAAAAUAAGAAAAAAAAAUUGAGUUUAUAUGUAAAUAUAUAUAUUUUUUUUUUAAAUGAGUAAUAAAAAAAUAUUAGUUUUUAUAGAAUGGCUCAAACAGGGGCUUGGGAAAGAAUAAUGCUAUAGACUCGGGAUCCUUAGACGUCAAGUCAAUUGACAAGAAUUUUAUUUAUAAUGGCAAGUCAAUGAAUAUUAUUUAGCUUAUGAGUCUGUUUGGUACAGAUUAAAAUUUAAUUUAAUUUAAGUUAAAGUCAAACAAUUAAUAUUAACCACAUCUUUUAUUGAUCCCACAACUUUUCAAUCAUAGGUUUCAAAAAUUUCUAUCAAAAUUUACUAAAAAAUCUAAUUUUAAUCAUCAACAAACACCCUCUAUGUUUGAUAUGGAUUAAAAUUUGGAUAAAUAUCUAAUACAAAUUCAAAAAUUAAAUGUAACCACAUAUUUCAUAAAAUUCACAAUUUUUUAACCUAUAUUUCAUCAAAUUUUAUCAAAAUUUACUAAAAAAAUUGAUUUUUAACUACAUCAAAUAGGGUCUUAAUUAUAUCAAAACUCAUGAAUAUGAUAGUAGUCUAGAUAAAUAACAUUACAAUUUAAAAAAGAACACGUUUAUUAAAAUCAACAAAAUAUUUUGUAUUUACAUGGGUAUCGUAUUUCCUUUAAUCUUUUCAAGGAAACGUAAGAUAUUUUAACUUUGUAUUACGUUUCCAUAUUUUCCAUAUACACGACAAAUAAAAAUAUUCAAAUAGUGUGAAGUUCAUAAGGAUGGAGAAGGGUCGUUCUAUCAAAUUCGAUGGGUUCCAUGUAUCUUUUACUUUUUUAAGACAUGACAUAGUUGCUUUCAUUUUCGAUGUAUUGAAAAAAUAAUAAUAAUAAUAAAUAAAAUGUUCCAUGUAAGUUUGGUGAGAUCGUCACACCUUUGAAUAAAGUAUUUUAAAGUUUAUGAAAAUUAAGUAAUAUCAUGUAGUGCAAUUAGUGUUUAGCGCAUGUUUAGAUGGAAUCAUAUCACUGUGCUUAUAAAAUCAUUCUGCCGUAACUUUAAAAAUAAAAAUAAAAAUAAAAAACGAGAAAGUGGACUCUGUUAAGAAUAAAGCUUCAAGUAUGGAAAAAAAUUAACAGAAUAUGUAUCGAUGCUGACAUGGCAAAAUAUGACUGGACUCUCUUUUCUUUUUUCCCAUCUUCCAAUGAUAUUGUGGCAUGUGUUGUCUGCAAGGAUUUUCUGUCAAAAAAUUCUAUACUCGUAGCAUGAUUCUUUUGUUAAUAGUGGAAACUCAAACUCUUGUAUGUUAAUUUAUAUCAUAUAUUCAAUCGAUGUAAGAUUUAUUAUUUAACGUUUAUUGAAAAGAUAACUUGUUUGAAAAUAUCAAUAUUGAAAUUUGUGUACUCAUUCAAAUCUUAGUCAAAUCGAAAGAAUCGUUCGAAUUUAAUGAACUCCAAUACUAUAUUAAUACUUGAUGUUCUAUCUCAAAAAUGUCAACUUUAUUAAGAUCAAUAAAUUUAACCUUUAUAUACUAAAUAUAUCUAAUUUGAAAUUUAUCCUAUAACUUAAUGAAGUCCAUAAAGUAUCAUGUCUAGAUCAUCUUCACCUGGUUCAUUCCCAUUUAAUAUUUUUAUUUAUAAUAUGAAGUAGAUAUUCGCCCGUGUGUACCCUUAAGAAACAGCUUAAACAGUACUGGUUGUAGUAGUUGAAUUUAAUUGGUUCUUGUUCUUUCAAUCUCUCUAAAGAAAAUAAUGUUGUUUUGCCAAAAAGAUGUCGACAAAUGCCUUAACAUAAUGGGUGUCUAACAAGAUAUGAUUGAAAAAUAAAAUAUGACUGUAUUUUAAACAAUCCAAUGAUAAAAUAUCAUGAGAGAUUUUGUCAACCUCUCUAGCACCAUAACAUCCAUUUAAUGGGGCGUGGUUCACGUGUACUGCUCCAACGCCCUUAUGAGGUAGUGAUGAGUUUCACGCGCUGUAAGCCCGGCCCAAGAGAUAGUCGGACUUGUUGAAAAUCUGGCAGUUAUUAAUGGCUCUAAAAGAAAGUUGAACGGAGUAGGCUUUGUAGAAAGGGGAAGAACCUUUCCGGAGAGGUGUGGUUCUUAGGGGGGAAGAGCUAGUAGGAGCCAUCCCAUCUCAAUAGCGUAUAUUUGGAGCUCAAUAUGAAAUUUUAUUUUCUUGCAAGACCCGUUCGGAUAAGGGAAAAUUCCAGAGAUUGCUUCAAAGUAAGCAAGCAUGUGUACUACUCAUUUGAAAAGUACAUUUGACCUUUCUCUAAUCAUAUUCUUCAAAAAUCACAAUUAAAAACUCAUUUAAAAAGAAAAAAAAAAUUAGGGCUCAGACAUAGGCUUAGUAACUAUGAUGAAUAACAACAAUUGUUGACACUCGAUAGUAGAAUCUACACAUGGCUAUGGAUUAUGAAACAAAUAGCUCCUAUUUGAGGUAGAUCAAAAUCAAAUUUACGGUAGAUUUUAAUCUACACUAAAUAGGGACAUAAUGUGAUUCAAGUGUGCAAAAUGCACAGUUCAAUAAAACUUGAUGGAUUAUCAAGGGUGACCAUCAAUCAUCAAUCAUUCGAAUGUUAAAGCUCAAAAAUUCUAUCAAUUUAUCGAACGUGUGCAAAAUGUGUGAGAUGAAACCAACCAAUAGUUUUGCUCGAGAGUGACAAAACUUGCUCUUUGAAAUAGUAGGAAUAGCUAACACGGCUCUUGAGGGAAUCUUAGAUGACAUCCAAUAGACCACACAAUUAAUUCCUACCUCCAUUUAAUUAUAAUAAUUUGAGAAAGCUGAAAGUCAAGUCAUUCUUGAUUGGUCAAUCUACUUUGAGGGGAUAAUAACAAUGAAAAUACUACACAAUAAAAUAUGUUUGCAAGCAAAAUUUUGCAGCACUGAAUUUUUGUGGUUUGAGGGAGAGUGUUUUUGCACAAACUAGUAAAGAACCAAAGCAAAAAUACAAGUUGUUAAGUUCUUUCUUUGUUUAUCUUAAAAAGUUGAUAAAAAAAAUUAAGUUAAAGUUUCUAUCGAACUCACAACUUUUAUCAAUUUUUCAAUCACACAUUUUAUUAAUUUUUAUCAAAAUUUACUAAAAAUCUUAUGUUUAACGAUACCAAACAACAGCUAAAGAGGCUUUUAAAACCUCGCAACCCUAUUAUGCCUAAACUAUAUGUAUAUUUCAAGUAAAGAAAUUCGGUAAAUUGGGACCAUUGUUCCCAACUUUUACCUUCUUUGGCAUUUCUAUUCCUAAUCUUUGUUUCUUGACACGCAUAUCCUCGAUCUUUAAUAAAUUAAUAGUCAUUGCCUCGAUAAUCGUUUUUGUUGUCUAAACUUGCCGUUAAUAUGGCUUGAAUUUCCAAUUUUGCCCUUAUGUAUAUGUAAACAAGGAAAAAAAAUACAAAAAUAACAAAGGAAAAAUUAGAAUAUUGAUCAUCCUCAUCAUUCUAGUCUAGAGCUAGAGAUGGCAGCGGGGCGGGACGGGACAGUCGUUUGCCCCGUUUGCUUUUAAAAAAAAAUAAACAAAUAAAGUUAUGCUAGGUGCAUUUUCAAUCAAGAACCCACAUCUAGUGAAAAUGUCGGGGAACGGAAACUUUAUAUAGUCGAGACCUUUGGAACCUCCACGGGGAAUUGAUGAAUCUCAUCAAUCCAUGGGCUCUUCUCCUUUGCNNNNNNNNNNNNNNNNNNNNNNNNNNNNNNNNNNNNNNNNNNNNNNNNNNNNNNNNNNNNNNNNNNNNNNNNNNNNNNNNNNNNNNNNNNNNNNNNNNNNNNNNNNNNNNNNNNNNNNNNNNNNNNNNNNNNNNNNNNNNNNNNNNNNNNNNNNNNNNNNNNNNNNNNNNNNNNNNNNNNNNNNNNNNNNNNNNNNNNNNNNNNNNNNNNNNNNNNNNNNNNNNNNNNNNNNNNNNNNNNNNNNNNNNNNNNNNNNNNNNNNNNNNNNNNNNNNNNNNNNNNNNNNNNNNNNNNNNNNNNNNNNNNNNNNNNNNNNNNNNNNNNNNNNNNNNNNNNNNNNNNNNNNNNNNNNNNNNNNNNNNNNNNNNNNNNNNNNNNNNNNNNNNNNNNNNNNNNNNNNNNNNNNNNNNNNNNNNNNNNNNNNNNNNNNNNNNNNNNNNNNNNNNNNNNNNNNNNNNNNNNNNNNNNNNNNNNNNNNNNNNNNNNNNNNNNNNNNNNNNNNNNNNNNNNNNNNNNNNNNNNNNNNNNNNNNNNNNNNNNNNNNNNNNNNNNNNNNNNNNNNNNNNNNNNNNNNNNNNNNNNNNNNNNNNNNNNNNNNNNNNNNNNNNNNNNNNNNNNNNNNNNNNNNNNNNNNNNNNNNNNNNNNNNNNNNNNNNNNNNNNNNNNNNNNNNNNNNNNNNNNNNNNNNNNNNNNNNNNNNNNNNNNNNNNNNNNNNNNNNNNNNNNNNNNNNNNNNNNNNNNNNNNNNNNNNNNNNNNNNNNNNNNNNNNNNNNNNNNNNNNNNNNNNNNNNNNNNNNNNNNNNNNNNNNNNNNNNNNNNNNNNNNNNNNNNNNNNNNNNNNNNNNNNNNNNNNNNNNNNNNNNNNNNNNNNNNNNNNNNNNNNNNNNNNNNNNNNNNNNNNNNNNNNNNNNNNNNNNNNNNNNNNNNNNNNNNNNNNNNNNNNNNNNNNNNNNNNNNNNNNNNNNNNNNNNNNNNNNNNNNNNNNNNNNNNNNNNNNNNNNNNNNNNNNNNNNNNNNNNNNNNNNNNNNNNNNNNNNNNNNNNNNNNNNNNNNNNNNNNNNNNNNNNNNNNNNNNNNNNNNNNNNNNNNNNNNNNNNNNNNNNNNNNNNNNNNNNNNNNNNNNNNNNNNNNNNNNNNNNNNNNNNNNNNNNNNNNNNNNNNNNNNNNNNNNNNNNNNNNNNNNNNNNNNNNNNNNNNNNNNNNNNNNNNNNNNNNNNNNNNNNNNNNNNNNNNNNNNNNNNNNNNNNNNNNNNNNNNNNNNNNNNNNNNNNNNNNNNNNNNNNNNNNNNNNNNNNNUAUAUAUAUAUAUAUAUAUAUAUAUAUAUAUCUUUAAUGAGUUUUGGGGAAUAAUUAAGACUAUUAAUGAGAUAUCACAGUCGUUGAUUGGUGAUCUUCUAACUGAAUCUAUUAAUCCUUCAUGUUUUACUCACUAGUCCCCAUAUUUCUAGUUCAUUGUUUGAGAAGUCAUGUUUCAGUUUUAUACUCUUAUAGAUGUGUGUUUUGAUAAUGAUUUCUACAGAUGUAUAAUAGUUGGUGAAAUCAAUUAAACGUGCUUAUGCUUGAUGUUGAUUAUAAACCAUUAUCAUGAGCUUGCAAAUGAUUUGGUUGACUUUAAAAACGUGCGCUGAAAUGGGUAAGGGUUAGCCUUUAAUCCUCUGCAAAUUUUAAUUGAUAACAAAUAGUCCCUGAAAUUCAAGUUUAAUCAUUUAUGUUAAGUUUAGGAAAUUAUUGUUUAAUUUCUAUAUUAUGCAAACCUAAAAAUGUUGUUGAUCAUAGUACCUAGAAAAUUAACAUUCCCUAUUGUUCAUCAACAACCUUGUCACUUUUACAUUCUCUCUUACAUUUUUCUUUACACUCUUCCACCACGACAAUAUCUAUACUUUCGAUUUUGAACUCAUCCAUCACCUCACUACGCAGAUUUCCUUCACAUAAGGGGGAAUGUCAAUUAAUGCAAAUCAUCAAGCAAGAUGUACAUAUAGCAUUAUUCUUUCAUCAAUGCAAAUCCUCCCAAAAACAUGAGCAAUAAAAAAGAAGAGAGAUAAAGAAGCAAUCUAAUCAUGGUUUAUUUUUAUUUAUUUAUUUAUUUUUAUUUGGGGGGGGGGGGGGGGGGAAUCAAUGAUUUGACCCAUUGUUUUGGUUGUGAUUUUUUUCGAAUAGAUUUUAUGAAAAUGAAUUUUAAGAAUAUGUCUGAUUGAAACAUAUGAAAAAAUUAUGAAUUUAAAUAUAAAAUUAUUUUGUAGGGACAAUUUACAAUUCAAAAUUAGUUUUAAAAAAUUAAAUCGAACGGCGGAGAAAUAUAGCCCAUGUUUGUUCCUAUUUUUUAAAAUUCAAUUUCCCAGAAAUUAAUUUUUAUUCAUUUAAUUUCUCAAUAAAAUGAUUUUAUACGAUGGACCCAUAAUUUAUUUAAUUUUUUUUUUUACUUUAUAAUCACACAUUCUUAAAAAAAGAAAAAGGGGGGCGGGGGGCGGGGGGGGNNNNNNNNNNNNNNNNNNNNNNNNNNNNNNNNNNNNNNNNNNNNNNNNNNNNNNNNNNNNNNNNNNNNNNNNNNNNNNNNNNNNNNNNNNNNNNNNNNNAUUAACGUAUCUAAUAAUGUGGGUCCCAAAAUUAAAUAUCCAAAGCAUGUGAGUUUAUCUACACAAAGGUAUAGAAACUUUAGUUUAAUGGGCCACUUUCCUAUUCGGCCGACAUACGUACAUUCCCUAGAUACAUUUUGUAUACUUAUACCUAUACUAUAUAGUAUGCACAUAGUAGAAUACGAGACUUUUUAGGGUUUUAUAUAAAUGACAGUCAAGUAAUGAUAAAUUGAAUUGUAUAAAACAUUAUGAGCGAAAAAAAUAAAAAUAGAAGGAUCAUACAAUAAAUGACAUGUUAGAUUGAUGGACUCGACGAUGCUACACAAUUAAAAAAUAUAUAUUUAUCUUUUCAAUAAUGAUAUUUAAGUCAAUAUAGCAUACAAACAUUUGGAGGAGGGAUAUGACAUGACAUCUAAUUAUAAAAUAUAGUCUGGGAAACUUAAAGACGAGAUGUAGGGAGCAAAGAAGUAUUAAAAAAAAGAAUAAUGCUGGGAGUACAGAAUGAUUUUUACAGAGGUUUUACAGAAACUUGAAAACAAAAAGAAACGAACAAAACGUGAGAUAAAUUGGGGACCCGCAUUACAUUUCCCCAUCUCCACCCAAAUAAUCCAAUUUCACCUAGAGUCUAGAGACUACGCCCAUCUUCUCACCCAUUGUCUCCAUCGCAAGCUAACCAAUCGAUGCCACACCUCCGACCAGACUGAAAACCCUGAAGCCCAUUUUUCCACCGAAAGAGAGAUAAAUGGCACCUUGAGAUUUAGAGGCUUGAUGGGGUUGAGACGAUGGUAGAAAGAGGGUCGAGUUAACGAGGUGAGCAAGUCUUCAUCAUCUCUGUUUCGGGAUAGCCAACUCCACAAUUGCCAAAAUUGCAGGGAAAUUCAGUGGGGAAAGCACAACUCUGAAAUUGACUUAGUUUUUUUAUUUUUAUUUUAUUUUUUUUUAAAUUUCUCCUUCUCCAUCACAGAUUCUCAAUCAAGCAAGAAAAUGCAAAAAGAUUAAAAAUGAAGAAAUUGUUUCCAUGGGUAUUGUAGAAAACAGGGAAGUUCUGAUUCUGUGCUGGAUAUUGAAGGCUUCUAGGUGGGCUCGUUCCGGCCACCGUCGCUUGGCUUGUGUUUUGACAGUUGAAAAACAGGCUAGUAAAUAAGGUCCAAUGGCUUGUUGUUCUUAAUCCCAAACGACGUGACUUGUACUUCCAGUUUUCUUCAUCAUUUUCCCUUUUUCAAUAGUGGACAACUCAUUCUGUCAAACAUCUAUGAAUAUCAUUCUAGAAGCCUAGCACGAUUGUAAAAAAAAAAAAAAAAGGGAUCUUUUAAUUUCACUGGUCAAAGUUGAACGUACAUUGCAUGUUAUUUCAAAAUACUUUAUAAGUUAUGUAAAAGUAAUAUUUGGUAUCAAUUUAUUGAAGGAUUUGAUGAGUCUCGAACGAAUUAUAAAAAUAAAAUUUAGCAUAGAAAUUUAAGAUAAUAAAAUUGUACUCUCAAAACUCAAUUUUUAUGAUUCAAAUUUUUUGUAAUGAUGAAAUACUAUAACUGAGCAAUAUUUUUAUAUUACAUUUGAUUCAUAAAAGUUAAUUGUUAAUACAUGAAUUUAAAUAUUUAUUAAAAUUUCUAGAUCCAUGAAUAUAAAUGAAUUCAUCUAUAAUAACUCUAGAUUUAUAUAAUUCAAUAUUUAUCAAGUGAAAAUUCAUUGAAUCUAGAUUAAUGUGAGUGUUAAUUAAUUGAUAAUUAACAACACAAAUUCAUAAACGACAAUAAUUACGUAAUAUUUAUUAUAUAUCGAAAAACGAAAAGUAAAGUAUUAUUGAAAUAAUUGAAUUGUAGGAGAGUUAAAAUCGUCCAAAGAAUCAUUCUCCCUUGAUAUAAUACUUUAAUAUAUUAUAGAUGUAUUAAUAUGUGACUCAAAUUUAAUUGGAUGUUUGUGGAUUGGAUAAAAAAAAGUGUUAAAAAAGUCAGUAUAUGAUUUGGGAGAUUUUGGGACAGAGAUUUGGAAUCAAGUUGGACCUGAAACAAGGUACCAGAGCGCUAUGCUACUGUCUUCUUACCGCUUGUUUUGACUAGGAUGGUGGUUGUUGGGGUAGGGUCCGUUUUGUUGCCUCUAAUAACUCUGUGCAUAGUUAAUCUCUACAGGCUAACCAUUGUAAGUAGAAGCUAAAAAGCAACUGACAGUGAUAUGAUAUGCCACAUAACCUGCGUAAAACGAAGCUAGUUGUUGUACCAUAAUUACUAAUUGAGUUAACUCACAAAAUUUCUUCGUUAUUACUUCCACCUGUGCUGUUAACACCCUCACUGCAUCUAUGUUAUGCAUCCCCACAGUUUUCUUUGGAACUUUCAUGAUGGUUGGAUAAUUGGCUUGAUUCUCGACAAUCAUCUCAUACAGGUUGAGUGCAUCGUAGAUUUCUAAUGUCAUACCCGUUAAAACAUCUAUCAUGUUACGAAAUUCAGGACGUAGUCCAUUGUAGAAGAGAUACACAUGCGCCUGCUUAGGAAUGUUAAGAUUUGGACACUUCCUAAAUAUGCUCUUAAACCUUUCCCAUGCAUCCAAAUUUGUCUCAAAAUCCAUCUAUUUGAAAGAAUAGACUUCGUUUUGGAUUUGGUGGACUGGAGACGAUAGCAAGAAUUUCAUGGUUAAUUUUUGCUUCAUGUGAUUCCUUGAUACAAUACUCCUGGUAGAUAGGGAAUAUAGUCAUGCUUUUGCACCCUCCUUCAUUGUAUAAGGGAAUAGGCGAUUUCGAAAGACAUCUAAUGACAUCCUCUCGUGGCUAAUAACUUUGCACAAUAUUAGAAAAGCUUGUAUGUAUUCGUGAGAGUUUCUAUAGCAUUCCCGAAAAACUUGAUGUUAUGAUGAUUCUAGAAGAGAUUGAUACAUCGAGGUCUAAGCUGAAAGUUUACCUAUCUAAAGGUUGGGUAGAUAAUAGGCGAUUACACUUGUACUAGCGCUGGAUUUACAUAAUCUCCUACUAAUAUUAGGCCAUCGUUGCGAUCGGUCUUUGCUGAACUGGAGGUGCUACUUGAAUUGGAUCCUGAAAUGCAUCUUGAAUCUGAUUCUGAUUUUCAGCCAUUACACUUGCUUUUUUCUCUAUUUCUUCUACAUUGUUUGAAAGUCCUUUCAAUAUCGAGAUCUAGUGAAACUAGCUAGAUAUCUUUUGGAUCUUGCAUAAACCGAUGUCACCCUAAGAGAAGUGAAACAAGAAGAAAUCAGGUAGUAUAAUGAAUAGCCUAGAACAAAAAAAGAAAUCGAAAAAAUCAAAUUUAAUAUCAAUUAAUAACUAAAAUUAAAAUCGUUAUUCCACGACAACGGCACAAAAACUUGGUCGAACAAAAUUCGCAAGUAUAUGAGAUUGUCGGCAAGUACUUGCUUUCACUAUUUUUUCAUCAAAUAAUGAGUUUUACCUAAUAAACACAAUAUAAAAUAAAUUAGGCAAUAUUUCAUCAAAAAAACCUACAAAAAAUCUUUUUUUAAAGUCUCAAAUAAAUGUAUAAAAUACAUUUAUCAUUGUGAUUACUACUUCAUGCCGUGUCAUGUAAUUUCAUCCUUAGUUCCUAACAUCAUGAAUGUUUUCUUGAUUCUUGUUACCAUAUUCAUGCCAUAAAUUUCUUAUGCUCAUUGGCAUUGUUAUCGAUUGUCUUAAAAGUAUGUUAGUGCAAGUCCAAACUCUACUGCUUCGAAAAGCUACGCAUUGGCAGUAAAAGGUAAAUUAAGCAAUCAAAUACUAAGUUUAUCGCUUAAUGUACGAUUAGGCUUGUUUAGACACGCUUUAUUAAUUUUUAUCUUUUCCCGGGGCACACUUUAUUAAUUUUUUAUUUAUCAUGUGAAAUGUCACAAAUGUGAUAAGUUGUAUAUGUUUGAAGAAGUUGCAAUGUUUAGCCCUCUUUAUUGUUGAAAUUGACUUCAAUUAUGAAACCAAUUAAGUUGGUAUAUGUUUUGAAAGCAUUGAUUUAAUUUGGAUGAUCAAAAUUAAUUAGAUUAAAGUACGUUAUAUGCAAGUUGCCUACCAUUACUUUGAAAGUACAUAGACUUUCACAAAGCACUCGAUACGGAUAUUAUGAAUUGAACUCUGAAAGAGUUGAUGAACUCUCAUUUCAAGUAUAACCCAAGAAUGGGGGAGGGUUAAACUUAAUGCUUGUGAACUUGAAAUAGAAAGUUCAAAACUUGUGGAUGCAACAUUAAUAAAUUGCAUAUGUAUUCCUAAUUGAGGAAUUAUGGGGAUAACUCAGUUUAAUAGUUACAUUUGCUUCUAUAUUAUAAUCACAGAACGAUAUUUAUGAAGGUGGAAAGAUAGAAAACCCUUAUACUAAUUAUAAAGAUGAUAUAAAAUAAGUCUAAAGUAGAUGAAAUAGGUUGUAAAGCCGAUUAUGGCUUUUGUUUAGACAUACAAGAACAAUUGGAAUAUAUGAAGAAUAUUCAUAAAGUUCAAAUGCAUGAUAAUGUUUCAAUGAUGAUAUUGAAUACCCAUGAUUCUGAAAUCCACUAGUAAAAGUAAUUGACUAAUGUAGUGUGUGAUAGAAAUCCUCCAACAGUGUUUGGAAAUUGAUAAAGUUUUAGAUAAAGCUAAUGAGGUAUAUAGUUUCAUGAGAGAAUUUUUUAGUGGCAACAAUUUGUAUCUAUCAAAUGAAUCGAUCAUUGGCUAGCAAUAUUUGAAGCUAGUAAGUCACAUGUAAUGGCAGGUCUAAACGUAAAAGUCAUAGACAUAAUACCAUUAAACAGAUGAUCUCAGUUGUGCAAACUCGUGGUAUCGUUAAGAGAUUUACCGAGAGAUUAAGUAUACUGCAUAUCGAAAGGAAUGAGAUUGAAGCCUACAACAUUAGAGUCCUUGUAAUGGUAACCCUACCUUGUUGAUUAGAGAUCCCAAAAUCUUUGUUCAAAUGGACAACUAAGUUAUGAGGAUUUUACAAAGCACUAAGGAAAAUAAUUUCCCAACUCAUUCCUAUGAUAUUAAAGUGUUUUCUGCAGAGUUGCAAGAGGUUAAAAUAAUCUUUUAAUGAUUCCUAUAUCUUGAUUAAGUCAAGUGGAUUAGGGCAGAAUACUCUUAAUAGGAGGUCACCAAUGUGAGUGUGAAGUGGGGCCGCUUCAAUGAGAAUUAUUCAAGGUUUAAAUUCUCUAAACACUAGUAGAGCCAAGAAGGGUUCAGGGCCAAAAUUAACCAAGUCAUGAGAACCAUGAAUGGUUUAGGGAAGACAUUGUUUGAGUAUCGUUAUCAUGGCUUACACUAAAGGUUAAAUUUCAAGACAUCACGUUCACCAAUUAGCCGAGUAAGUCCGAUAAUAUUUUACUAAGGAAGGUUCAAGGGCAGAAGCUACCAUCCCUGAUGCAGUGUUUUUCCGCACUUUCUCUACUAGUGUCUGCAUUAUCAUUUGUAUUGAUUUUCAUUCAUGUGAGGGAUUGUUGGAAUUUUGUUGGAAAUUUUGUAUUAUUUGGUGAAUGAAAAAUUAAGCUAAAUUUAAAUCAUUUAAAUACGUGAAUUACUGAAAAAGUGCGUAAAAUAUUAUGGAAUUUCGAGAAAUUAUUUUACUAAAAAUGUGUCUUUCUAUAUGAAAGAUUAUGACUUUUGGCAUUAUCAUUUUUCAAGAAACGUGUCUCUUUAAAUAUAGAGACUAAUUCCAAUAGUUGUGUCUCUUUCAUAGGUUGUCUCUUUUGAGAUAAAUAUUUUCAACAUCUAUAUAUUGACCCCAUAUGUUUGGAUUUAAUCAUUCAGGAAUUUUAAUUCAUUCCAUAAUUUCAUAUUAUUCAUUUCAUGUCAAGUUACUUAAAAUACUUUGUAGAAAUGGUUAUGUCUUGCUUCAAAGUCAUGUUUAUGGUAGAAAGAGAAUUUCGUUCGAGUUCGCUGGUCGAAAUCAUUUGGAGUGCUCCUAUGGCUUGACGUGGUCAUUAUAUAUUGGGAAAUGAUUGCUGAAAAACCGUUAGCACCGAUGCGGGGCAAAUUCAUCUUACGGACCAAGUGGCAAACACUUGUCUCGACCAAAAAUUCAUCACUUGCAUAUUUAUUACUUAAUUUUCUGAUUUCUCUUAAUUAUGGUUUGAUUUCAGAAAAUGAUUAUCAUUAUUUACAUGUUUGUUUUGCAAUGUUUGAUUCAAAGAAUAACUUGCUUUCGUUAAAGAAUCGAAAGAGAUGAAUCCAUAUUCAUGCAUUCGGAUUCGAUAAUUAUUAUUGUUUUGCUUCUCAAAUUCUAUUUCGGUAAGUCAAAAUUACGUUUCGAUUUCACGCAAAUAAAUUGUAUGCUAUUGUGAUUAUAAUAUGCACACAAUCAAUGUAUUCCCCAACAAAGUUGUCACUCUAUAUAGAGAAAAGUAAUGAAAUGACAUAAUAUUUGAGUAGAGAUAAGUAUCAUUUAUUCCUUUUUCUUUUUUCUUGAAAACUCUUCCUUCAAAGUUCUUGCUUAAAGUUCAAAAAGUGCUUGAAUUGGCAAGGUAAUAUAAAAUAUACAUGAACUUUUUGACACUUAACUUUUUGAAUCUUGUUGGAUUUGAUUUGAUGAUGAUGAUAAUAAUAGCACCUAUUUUUUUAUUAAAGUUUCUGAUAACUUAAUUAUUGAUGAUAAAAUCUAAAAUCCAUAGUUUCCUCUAAUUUUCUUAACGAAUUAAAAAAAAAAGUUAGGUCAACCUUGGAUAUGGGCUGGAUUGACCCCAACUUCAUUUUCAACAACAUAUCUAAUGAAAUAAUAAAUUAUCCACAUAUUUCUAUUGAUGUGUAAAUUAAACCUUUUAUUUUCCGAACAAACGGAAACUUAAACAGGAGGGGACCGUAUGCAUAUAGCUAUACUAUUAUCGCCACUUUUGAAGUCAUGACAUGGCUAUGAGCGUCAACAUUCAAUGGCUCUCAUAGAGCUAAGUAGCAUCACCCUAUUCUUUUCUUCUCAUGUGCUUCCAACCCAAUUGAAGAAAGAAAUUUUUCAAACAUUCAAUGAAGACACUGUCAGAACAAAAGUAAUAUGAGAUGGCGCCCUUGUCCCUGGCCCUGAGUCGGGACAGGGGGUUUUAUCCAAUAUAUAAAUAAAUAAAUAAAAAGGGUUGAACCGCAACUUUGAGGACUCCCAUCGCCUCACCCCUAAGCAUCGUGAGGGAGGUAAAUAACGGGAAGUGCCCCAACAGGUCAGGGAACAAGAGCUUGCCUAUGCACAAGUGCCCAUAAAAAGUCCAAUUUCAUAUCUCAGAAAUCGAAUCCUCACACUGCGGCUGUCAACAAGGCUAAAACUACCUCACUCAUGUCCUUUGCACCAUUGGGUUAUGCCUCGGGGGGCGGGUUUUAUCCAAUAUGAUAUGUAAUACUUUUGCUAAAGCAAGAAAGAUAGAGGUUAUGUUGAGUCAAACUUUUCCUUUUUCGUGUCAUCUUAUUUUGCUAUUACUCGUUAUUUUAACUUGUAUGGGACUUAACCAAUAUGCCACUCAAAGCUAUACAUUAGCAAGUUAUAGUCUCCGUGUGGCUCCCAUUUUUUUUCAAAACUCAUUUUCAACCACACAAUUUUGCAUAAAAUAAUUUUAUGGGUAAAUCGAAAACUUUCCUUUUUUUUAAAUAACACAUUCUUAAAAAAAUCACUAUUCCAAAAUAUAUUUUUUACAAAAAUGGGGCUAAAUAGGGGGCAUAUUCUGUCAAACUGUGGAAAAAUCUUGCAAUUCGUCUGAAAAAACUUAAAUUGUUAGAUAGCAUAUUCCUUUUUCGUCAUAUCCGUGACACAAAAUUUUUACAGUUGUCUGAAAAUUUUUAUUUUAAACAUUUGCACUCUACUAGACUACUAUUAUACGACAUUCGUAUUCACUCAGUGAAUAAUAAUAUCAUUUCUGAAUAGUUGAGCGUCAUGUUUUUCGGUUCCUGAUUAACAUUAGAAAAAAUGAAAAUAAAACAAAGACAAUUUUCAAAGUUUGAUUUCACGACUAUUUCAGUAUUUACUCAACUUGAUGACUAGCGAAACUCAAUUUCACACUCUACAACCUGGUUGGCUUCAAUAUCUGGUGCAGCUUCACAUCACAUCAUUCCCAACUGAUAAACUCUCAUUGAAACUGGUUUUCAUACUGGUAAAAUAUGCUUCACAUCCUAUCUGAUGCUCCUUUGUUUUCCGCCAGAAUAUCUUAAACUUGACUGCAGUUUCCACCUCCACUUUAAAAUCUAUACUUCAACCUCUUAGUCCUUGCUGAAAAUUUCGGUGGACCACGGCUGAGUCAGCUUUAAUAGUUAUUUUCCAUGAAGUAUCGUUCUUGUGUCCUUGAUAAAAUGGUGGUGUAGAACUUGUCCCAACAAAGACAUCUUUGAAAAAUAAACUCAAGGAGAUCCCGUCAUAGUAUAUGCUAAUACCUUUGUUAGGAUUCGAGAUUUUGAAAUCGAAAAGUAUUAGAGAAGAGUUUCCAACAGAAGAAUUCUCAGAAUUUAGAGAAGGAAAGUAUAUGUUUACAAUGGUAAAAGAUGGAUUUCUUGGGAUUAGACAGCGCCAUAUAACUACAGAAACCAAACUUAACACUACUAUCACCUGAAAAAACCAGCAGUAGAUGCCGAAGUUAGCUUCACAAAUUUUUUGGCGAACCAUUUGUACUUGUAGUGUAACAAAAUGAAAUCUCAAAGAAACUGAUUCAAAAUUUAAAUUCAGGGUUCUGGAUCAUGAAAAGAGAGAGAUUUGAAAAGGCAUGUUCAUGACUGGAAGUUGGCAAGACAUAUAUGCUUGUGGUUACGCUAUUUUAUAGAUGAAUAGUUUGUGCACUGAAAAUUUUCUAAUACAAAAAAAAUAAUAAUAAAUAAAUAAAAAUUAUGAAAAAAGUUCGCAUGUUUAUACCUAAGUCGAAAAGAAAGUAAGCCGCAUUGGAUCAAGUUAUACAACAGGUUGGACGGUUUGCUUUAUUGGUCGUAAAAAGUGUUAACUAAUUCAAUCAUGCUACAUAGUCCAACUCAAUGAUAGAAUUUUUUUUCCAGACAACACAUUGUUGGGAAUCUACUUAUACAUGCACAGCGGAAUUUAAAAUAAUUUUCGAUUCCCACCAAGAAUCGCCUUUGUGUUUAGAUAGAAAUUGUGAUAAGAUUGUACCUUUUCCAGAUCUGCAAUCCUUUUGCUUUUCUUUUCGUUCCACAACUUUGAUUCGCCACCACAGCUGUCCAAUUGUCCAGCCUCCAACGGUGAUCCACACAGAGAAUAUGAUUGCAGCCUCUAGGGUUUUUUUUCUUGUGCCAGCAAGAAUAAUGAAAACACAUAUGGACCUCAAACCCUAGUUAUGUAUUUAUAUAAACCCAAACAGGCUCGACCCGGUCCGGUCCAAUAAUUAAUUAAUCCAAUUAAUUAAUUCGAAAAUAUAAAUAACAAAUCCAAUUAAUUAAUUUAUCCAACGAUUGUUAAAUUAACCAAUUGGCAAUUUGCAAUCUUCCAAUUCUCUUUUGUGUGUGACCCAUUAGGUUCCCGACCACGAUGUCUAACGACGUGAAAUAUUAUUUUGAUCUAAUCAAAAUUGAUAAAUUAAAACCCCCCUUUUAAUUUAUCGUUAAUUCACAUUCGCCGUCCCUGAUUGACAUUUAGCAAUGUGUCAGGGCAAUACAUGUGACGGGAAAUGUCACGUGGUAUGACAAAAUCAAAUUCGUUCGUUUACCGUGAAACUAUAAUCCAUUCGUCAAUAUGAUCCGAUCAAUUACGAGAUAUGGAAUUGUGUCAAUCUCGAUCAUCGAUCAUAUCUUUCAUUCCACUAUUAAGUCAAUAUAAGUCGAAAACUCCUUUUCGACUUAUGGGUACACCUUGGCUAAGGAUUUCAUCAUCGACUUAAUUGAAUGAAACGCAGAUCAUAAUCUCCUACUAUCUAAGAGUGACGAAUCCUUUACUGAUCAAUCACAACCUUCAUACGAUUCUUGACAUACCCGAACGAUAUCGUAUUAGCGGCCCUAUUCAGAGCAACAUUCAACACCGCCAAAGUAUGACUAUCUUCAUAUAAGGUACUAUGACGACCUCAAGUCAAAGGACCAAUUCCACUACCGAACGUUAGAGAUUAAUCACUGACACUCAGAUAGUUAUCCAUGUGGAAUCUCUCGACGGGUCUCCAAUGUUUUGUUCUAUAACAAAAACAUCCACGUGUUCAUUUAAGUGUCACCACACUUUAACUUGUGAGAUCAGUUACUUACUUCACAAGUAAGAAAUACCACACGUGAUGGUCUAUCCGUAAUAACGAUAUCCGUAUCUCGUUAUUACUUACGACCACGGAUGAUUUAAGAUUCAAUCAGAUGUAAUUUGUAUCUCACAAUCACAACUCCUUGUGAUCAACAAAUUACAAAUAUUUGAAUCUACGGACUCUAUUAUUUAUUUAAUUGUCUAUUAAUUAAAUAAUAGAUCUGUCAUUUAAUUGCAUUAAUUAUAUAUAAAAGUAUUUAUGUCCAAAGUUGAUUGGACCUAGGGCAUAAUACUUACACACAUGACAAUUUUUCAUUAAAAAUCGGAAAAAGGCAUCACAAAAACACUCAAUCACAAACUGUCAAGUCUGCCUAUUUUUUAUCCCUAUUUUUUCUCCCUAUUUGAGUAGCAUUUUCUAACUAAUUUAAGCUCGGGGCAAAUAGUGGUCGACAACGACCGCAUGAUCGGAGCCCUGAUUCUAUACCACAACCAAAUCCAUUCUUCCAUAUUGCGAUUUGUGCAGUGUGAUUGAUAUAUAUGGUGAUUAUCUCUUGCGCCAAUUUUAUCCAUUCUCCAUUGAAGUAUUGUAAUAAUCAACAAUUUUGUGCCACUAAGACAGUCAAGUAUCAAUAAAAAUUUCUUACAGUUUGGGUAAUUUCAAAUUUGCGAUCUUAAUUUUGGAAUUCGUGGUAGAAUCAAGAAAUUAUUUCCAUAUCGACUAUAUCAAAAUGGGGAAAGGUCUUGAGGACCCAUUUGCAUGAAAGACAGAUUAGAAACCAUUUGCAUUAAGGAACGACACUUCCAAGAAUAGAUUAAUAGCAGCUGAAAAGCAUAGCUGAAAAUUAAUUGGUUUAUUGAAAAAUAUACUUGGACAAAAGGCUAUGAUCCACUUCAUUAAAGUAGCUUUUUGAUCAAUUCAUAAGCAUCUUCUGCCUUCUGAGUGAAGCAAUCGAGUCAACAUUACGUAGCUUAAGUAUUUGAUUUUCAAUAUGCCUUUUUUCUUAUGCAAAAAAAAAAAAAAAAAAAAAAAAAAAUUUAAAAAAAAAAAAAAAAAAAAAAAAAAAAAAAUUCUAGAGAAAAUUGCAGGGAAGGUCCCAAACCUUUCAAUUUUCUCCAAAAUACCCCCUUAACCUUUUAUUUUUGCGGCCGUAGUUCCAAACCUUUCACUUUAACGGCAGCGAGAGUCCAUAAGACAUAUUUCAUCUAAUAUUCCGUUAGUCAACCAUGAAAUUAGAUGUUUGACUCAAAUUGACAAAUUAAAUUAGGAGUACAAAUAAUAAAUUUAAAUUUUCUAUAAUAAAACAAUUAAAAUAAUUAAAUAAAAACAAAAUCAAAGUGAACUUUCUCUUCCCAAACCCCACCCACAAAAUUCAAAACCAGAAAAUGUUGGUGUCCACUUGGUUAGCAACGGAGCUCAUUUUUUACUUCACGAGAAGUACUCGAGUACACAUCUAAAGCGAUAGCCACAGAGGAAUCAUUGAACUAUAAAUUCGACUAUUCUACUAUGCCAGUAUCGUCACAUCAAAAAAUUUGAAGGAUAAACAUAAAAAUUAAAAAGUUGUUAAUUAUACGAUAGUAAUCUUCUUAUCCUGAGGAAAAAAGAUAGAUUAAGUGCAUGGUGUAUGCACUUUUACACACUCAUCAACAUGGAAACACCGGCCUACAUUAAUUAUUCCAAGUGGAGAAAUCCUCGACCAUUAUAUCUACAUUGAAAAGAAAAAUAAGUACAGUGUGUAUAUGUCUCUUUUUAGAUGACCAUGCACAUGUAGUUGUGCUUAAUUUACUUUCUUCAAAAUAACUUUUAAUCACAACCAAACAUGCUCAUGUGUUCUUAGUAAACCUUAGUACACACACUUCUGAUUUCACCUUCUUUAUCAGUAAGCACAUUAAUUCUGCCCAUUUUCACCAUCGACUCCCCAAAGUCUUCGAAGAACGUAGAUCCAUGAGAUAGAGCUUGAAAUUUGAGAUAUGCUUUUGUUUCAAUGUCAUCUAGUAGAGCUACGUCUGACUCGAAAAGCCCUCUUCUUUUCGCCACAAGUCUGAAAUAAGACUCAUCGAAGGUCUCGUAACUUCCGGGAUCCAUUUCCACUAUUGAGUUCUGGUCUCGAGGCUUGCAUUUCAUCUUAAGUUUUUUUACGUACUUACUAUCCAAACUGGGGUCGGUAUCAAACCUUCCAGUGAAAUUGUAGAGAUGGUGGUGGAAGGAUGAGCAAUGAGAAAUCCCAAUUGUAUGUCCACCUAAAUUAAAGGUAAAGUUUAUGUUCGAACAAAUUUCUACUGUGUUUUUGUCCUUCGAGAUUGUAACAUAAUCCUAUAUUUCUUAACUUUAGAAAAUGCAACUAAAAAGUCAAAAGUCAAAAAUUAUUUUCUGAAAGUUUUUAUCUCACUAGAAGAAUUGUUAGAUGAAGUUGAUGUAAGUACCCCUUCAUCAUAAAUUAAGCUCUUCUACGAGAAGAAAAAGAAAAAAAAUCUUUCAUAUAUAUAUAUAUAUAUAUAUUUAUUUUUUAAUGAUGGGGGAACCCGUAGCUGCUAUCCUUCCGGUGCGUACUGGGUAAACCCUCAAACUGAAACAAUAGCCUGCAAAUCAUGUCAGUAAGGUAAACUGUACGAGGCAAACCCUGUGCGACAAACUCUACCAAGAAAGUGUUGGUAUGAAAAAUCGAACUCGUGACCAAAGGUCUCCGUACUCACCUACUCUACCAACUCGGCCACAUCAUGAGGGUAAAAAAAAAAAAAAAAAAAAAAAAAGUUUUUUAAUUGUCCCUUAGUCAAAUUGCUUAAGCAACCCUCACUUUUGCGACUAGUGCAACAUAAUUUUAUAUUUAAUUUGUUCGGCCUAAAUUUACACGUGGAAUAUGUAGAAGUGGGCAUCAAAAUACCUGAUAAGACUACGAGGUCCUUGACACUUAAACCGCGCUUCUUAAACCCUUUCUUUAAAGUACUAAUGUUUGAAAAGGGUGCUAACAAUUUAUGUAGGGCUUCGCUCUUAAUCGAUACUCUUCCAUCUCUUCGUCCAGUUUCGACUUCCCAGAAUGGCCCUUUAACCUGAUAAACAUAGAAUUCAAUUAUAACCCUGAAUAUAUCUUCAUUAUCUAAUUGAAUUUUUUCAUAUACUCAAAGUUACCGCUACUGUUACAUCCCUAGCUACUAGGGCUAGUAUGUCAGCACAUGAAACGACACCGGGGCACACUUUCUCUGCUGCAGCCUUCGCUUGAUCUAUAAUUUCAAAUCCUCUUAAACUUAAAUAUGAGUCAGCAUCCUUCUCAUAUUUUUUUGCUGGAGACUCCAACAACACUGAUCCAUCACAGCCCUGCAUAUAAGUUAAUAGAAAUAUAAUACUUACCGAGCCAGUAACAUGGAAGCAUAAAUUUUGGUAACGUACUCUAACAAAACAAUCGUGAAAAUGCAUUCUUAACAAUGGAGGUGCAAGAGUUGGCGAUAUAGAGAUGACUUGGUCUACAAUCUCUUUAACUAAGGGUUCAAGAUCUGGGCAUGUUUCCUGGUAAUACCCUACUUUCAGACUUUGUCCAUUUGCAACAAUAUUGAAAGCAAAAGCUAGGGUAAUUAAUUGAAAAAAUAAGGUGCUUAUUGAAGCCAUGCAGUACUAUGAAGUAUGAAGUGUUAACUUCUUGUAUUUUGGUACUGAAAUUAGGUAAAGUAAUUGCAUCGUUUUAUCGUAAGCCAUCUACCAAAACCCUUUGAAUCUGUCAGUGCAUGGCUCUCUCUGAUGUGAUUCUUCUUAAGGUUUAUCAUUAUCUAUCAUUUUUUUGAAUAAAUCUGAUUGGUAUUUUUGAACAAAUAAUUAAUUGACCAAACAGUUGGGACCCACGUGGUGAUGAAAGAAGAUGACGAUUUAUUUGGGUCUGAAGUAAAAUAAGUAAAUUUUGACCUACAUAUUAAUUUAUUGAUUAAAGUUGGAAAAAAAAAUUAUUUUAUUAAUUUUGAAAGUAAAUUUUAUUGCAUAGGACUUGGCAAAUGAAAAUCCAGAGAAAUAAUGUUAUCUAGCACCAGUGGUACUUAAAUAUCAGUUUAUAUGACAUUAUAUGAUAGAUUAAAUUAAAUGUGAAAUUAUGCAUUUUAUUUAACUAAACUUGUAAUUUAAUAAUACUAAUACUGUCAUAUAACUAGUAUUAACCUCCAGUGAUGCUAACUAGCACUACUCAAUGUAGAUAUGUAAUGUGUUGGCUUGACUUAGUCAGUGUGUGCCCGAGCAAUUGUUAAGAGUCAAAAUAAGUAAACUUCUAUUUGUACCAUUAAGCUUAGUCAAAUAAGCUUAAUGAAAAUAUCCUUAAAUAUCCUUAAACUUCUAUUUUUGUUUAAUGAAACAAUUCACAAAAAUCCUUAAAAAAAAUUUAUUAAUUAAAUAUUUAGCCAUUGCUUGAUUGUCAUUAUUUAGCAAAAACAAGAUUUUGAAUAGUGAAUUUUGAAGAAUGUGUGGUUAAAAAGUAGGAAACAAUUUUGCAUUUAUAUACAAAAUAUUUUACUGUGUGAAUUUAUAAUUGAAAAUGAGUUUAAAGAAUAAAGAAUUUUAAAAUAAUUAUUGUCAAAUAGGGGCUUACUUUUGUCGCUUUUUUAUUCUCAAACUACUGUAUUAUUAAUAUUUUAUUUUUAAAUUUUUUUACAAUAAAUUUUGUAUACACAUAUUCAACCACCCUAUUUCCACCCUCAUUAUUGUCACUACCAUCACCAUGGCCGCCGUCAAUUGUAACACAAUAUGAUCUACACAUUUUGGUGCAUUUAUCAAUCAUCAUCAUGACAGUCGACACCAACACUACUAGUAAUGUUCAAUGUUAUACCAUUAUUGCCGGUCCCACCACUUUAGCAUUAAUUGUUAUACUACUUUUAAUCCCACCGCUUAAAAUAUUUAUUGUUACACCACUAUCGUUGCCCCAUCAUUGUCGUUACCUUAAUUAUUAUCCUACCAUUUGCACAACCAAACCACCACCGCCUCCACCAUAACCACCACCCUAAACUCUAAAUCACCACUACCACUAGUAGAUCUACACCACUUCUCCCAUCAUGACAUAAGCCACCACCUCCCAACCAUCACCACCACAUUUCAAACCUUAAAUCAUCCCCAUGCACGACCACCUACACUAUCACCACUACCACCAUUUUUAGUCACCACCUAAUCUCCACUCCCACAACAAACCACCAAAAAUAAAAUCAAUCUGAGACAUAAAAGUAUCAGAUUUGAGGUGAAAGGAGGUGGUGGAGCGGGCAUUGCUAAUGGUGAAAAUGGUCGCGGGUGGUUCGUGAAUGAUGGUGGUUCCAUGUCUGUCAAUACCCAUAAUCAACGUGUCUUUUAUGCGGGAGAAGGUACUAGAUUCAAUAUUUCCUUGUUUUCUUUCUCUUCUCGAACUUCACUUUUACAUUUGAAAAAAAAAAUUAAUACUUAAAAUUCAGGAUUAUUAAUCAAAAUCAACAAAAGACGUGACUUAUUCUAAUCACAUGCAUCAUAUCAUUAUAUUUUACAUGUUACGUCAUUGAAUUGAUAAUAUAUUUAUCAUAAUGAAUUAGUCGUCUAGAGACUUGACAAUUUGCCUCGAAAAAAAUAUGCUCAACAAAACAACUUAAUUUCCAGGCAAAUCCAUCUAGUAAGGUUUAUAGAUUUCAUUCACUAGAAAAAUAUGUUCCACAAGAAUAGAUGUAAAGGGAUUGUUGGAAAUUAUAUUAAGUUUCAACUUUCAAAAUUAUUAUAUUUUUAAUUUUUAGUUUUGGGUUUAAUUAAAAUCUUAAUUUGUUGUAAAUGGAAAGUCCAUUAAAGUUUAUUGAUGAAUGACAUUUGUACCCCUUAGCCCUAGAAAUUAUUAUCAUUGUAUCUCUGAUUCUUACCUAUAAAUAUAGAGCUUUGAUUUUCAAUAAUACAGACAAAAAGUUUAUUGAGUUUUCUCUAUUCUCUUUAAGUUUCUCUAUUCUCUUUUCCUCUCAUUUUAUAACAUGUUAUCAACACGAAACUCUUAGAAGGUAGUAAUUUUUUUCAUAAUCAUCUAUCACGUAUAUCAAAAUUAAUUUGAUAAUACGUGAAUUUUACAUAUACAUAUGUUAAAUCUGCAAUACGUGAUCUCAUCUUUCUCGAUCAUUAUUUUUUCUUUGUACCUCUCUUUGAAUUAAUUAAUAUUUUUUUCCUUUACAUCAAUCCACGUGCAUUUUUAUGGAAAUAUAUUUAUGUUAAAUCAAUUGAUAUGCAUUAAUUCAUGUUCCUAUACUCUCCUUAUAUUUAGAUUAGCCUUUUACGUUUUACACAUGCUUAUAAUUUUUUUUUUUUUAAUUGGUCAACGUUCUUUGUAAGCAAGCUUCAAUUUCAGAUCUCUAUUUUGGCUGAUUCCAUAUAUAUAUAUAUAUAUAUAUAUAAUUAGCAAAUAACUGUACCCAACUCAUCUUUUCUCUCAAAUCCAUUGGUUUCUAUAAAUUUCAUGCCUUAAUUGGUUAAUACUAAUUCAAUUCUUUUAAUUGCACAUAAUUAGAAUUUCAUGCCAUAAUAUGUGAAUAUGUUUCUACAUGUCACCAAUUUUUUUUUUGUGUUUCACAGGACUCACGUUAUUAAUUCAAAAUAAUAUUUUACAUGUAUUUGUAUAUUAAUUAAUGAUGAGCAAUUGGAUGUAUUAUCAUUUUUUUUAUGUUUAGUUAUGAAACAUUACAUUAAAUUUAUUUUUAAUUGUUAUUGCUCCUGAAAUAGCACAACAUUAUAAUUAAUAUUCCAAAAGAAUAUUAAUCAUAGAGUUAUUCAUUGUUGCUUCAGAAGUAGCACAACAUUAUAAGAAUAUUAUUUGUUCCUGAAGAACAUAAAUUAUAACUCUCAAUAUUCCAAAAGAAUAUUGACAUAUUGUACUUGAAGAAAUAAUAGUAAAAUAUAAUGUGCUCCAAAAGUAGCAUAUGUUUCGAAAAACAUAUUAUUUCAAAUUAGUGUUUAUCCCUAGAGGAAAACACAUAAUUUAAAGUCAUGUUGAUAUUGACUAUUUGAUUAACAUGUGAUGAUUAAUCAUAUUCUUCGAAACUAAUUGUAUUUUUUUAUUGUGUAGUUAAACAAAUGGCAAACAUUACGAAACCUGAGUUUGCUGCACUUGACAUAUCUGGUAAAAAUUAUCUGUCAUGGAUACUGGAUACUGAUAUCCAUCUUGUCUCAAAGGAUCUGGAAGAGACAAUAAAAGAAGGAAACAAUGAAUUCCUGCAGGAUCAUGCGAAAGCACUCAUUUUCUUCCGUCACCAUCUUCACGAUGGAUUAAAAUUUGAAUAUCUCUACUAGAGAUCAAUCAAGGAAAAAGAAAAAUUGGAGACUAAUUUUGCUGAUUAUGAUAGUCCAAUUAAUGUGACUCAUUUGGAUGUCUCCGAUUUCUUUACUGAUCCAAAUAGAAAUAUUGAACAUUUGGUUGGAGGUGGUGUGAUAGAAGAUAUAGAUUAAUUUACUAGUAUUUCUUUCGUUUUACAAAUUCAGUCUGAAAUGUGUUUUUACUUUUCUACACAAAAAUAAAAAAAAUAAAAAUAAAACUCUAUUAUGCACCGUUUAUUUCAUGAUAUUAAGUAAUGUUUACUUCUUUAAAUCUAAAUUCAAGUUUUUUUUUUAAAUUUUGUUUAUUUUGUUAUAUUUAUAGAUUCAUGAUGAAUAGUUAAGACAGUUGCUUAAUUGAUAGUGCAACUACAAAUACUAUUUUUCAAGACAAAAAAUGCUUUUUAAACUUAAUAUUAGUUGAAAAUAAUGUUACGAUAUCAGGUGCGUCGAAUAUCGUUGAAGGCUCCGGAAGAGCUUGUAUUAUUUUACCAAAUAAUACAAAAUUAUAUAUUGAUGAUGCACUUUAUUCUAGCAAAUUCAGAAGAAAUUUGCUUAAUUUUAAAGAUAUUCGCUCCAAUGAAUAUCACAUUGAGACGAUGCAAGAAAAUAAUAUUGAAUAUCUUUGCAUCACUUCUUUUGUAUCUGGCAAGAAGCAGAUAAAAGAAAAUUUUCAUACACUCCCGUCUGGUAUGUAUUUUACAUUUAUAAAAAUGGUCGAAUCAAAUAAUGUUACGAACCAGAAAUUCGUUGAUUAAAAAAGUUUUAUACUUUGGCAUGAUCGACUUGGACAUCUAGGAGUCAUAAUGAUGCGUCAAAUAAUAAACAACUCACAUGGACAUCCUUUAAAGAAUCAGAAGAUUCUUUUAUCUAAUGAUUAUCCAUGUAUAGUUUGUUCGCAAGGCAAGUUAGUCAUUAGACCUUCAACUACAAAAGUCAAUAUUGAAUCUCAAACUUUCUUGAAAAGAAUACAUGGAGACAUAUGUGGGUCAAUACACCCAUCAUGUGGACCAUUUCGUUACUUUAUGGUAUUAAUUGAUUCUUCUACAAGAUGGUCACAUGUUUGUCUACUUUCAACUAGGAAUGUAGCAUUUGCUAUACCACUUGUUCAAAUCAUAAAAUUGCGAGCACAAUUCCCCGAUUACUCAAUCAAGACUAUUCGUCUUGACAAUGCUGGUAAAUUUAGAUCACAAGCAUUUGAUGAUUAUUGUAUGUCAAUUGGGAUUGAAAUUGAACAUUCAGUUGCACAUGUUCAUACAUAAAAUGGUUUAGCGGAAUCGUUUAUUAAACGUCUACAACUUAUUGUUAGACCAUUACUUAUGAAAAUAAAACUCCCAACUUCUGUUUGGGGUCAUGCCAUAUUAUAUGCUGCAUUAUUGGUUCGUAUAAGACCAACUGUCUAUUAUCAAUAUUCACCUUUGCAACUUGCAUUUGGUCAUGAACUUGAUAUUUCUCACCUACGGGUUUUUGGUUAUGCUGUCCAAGUUUCUAUUUCACCCCCACAACGUACUAAAAUGGGUCCCCAAUGAAGACUUGAGAUUUAUGUGAGUUUUGAUUUACCAUCUAUUAUUAGAUAUCUUGAACCUUUAACGGGUGACUUAUUUACUGCACGUUUUGCAGAUUGUCAUUUUGAUGAAAUGACUUUCCCAACUUUGGGAGGAGAAAAACUAUAUCCUGAAAAACAAGAUAGAAUUUCUUGGAAUGAGACAACUCUAUCUCACUUUGAUCCCCGCAGCAAUCAAUGUGAACAAGAGAUUGAAAAAAUCAUUCAUUUGCAAAGAGUUGCAAUUCAACUACCUGAUGUAUUUGUUGACACGAGAAAAGUGACAAAGUCAUAUAUUCCAGCAGAAAAUAUUCCAGCAAAAAUUAAUGUCCCUGCAGGACAAUCUGCUGUGGCAAAUGAAUCUCAAAUACGCCAGAAGCGUGGUCGACCAGUUGGUUCAAAAGACCUUGUACCUCGAAAAAGAAGAGUACGGGAGAAAAAUCAACCAAAAACUUAAGAAGAAAUCACAUUAGAAAAGAUUAAUCAAUCAAAUAUUGAAUGUACGGUUCCUGAAGAACCGGAGGUGUCCGAAAAUAAUGAGAUCUCAAUAAAUUAUAUGAUAUCUCAUAAAUUAUGGAAACGGAAUAAUAUUGUUAUAGACAAUAUUUUCGCCUUUAACAUGGCUCAUGAUAUUAUGUAAAAUGAGGAUCCUGAACCACAGUCUGUUUAAUGACUGUCGAAAUAGAAAUGAUUGGCCAAAAUGGAAAGAAGCUAUACAGGCAAAAUUGAAUUCUUUGGAGAAACGAAAAGUGUUUGGACUAGUAGUUCGAACACCUAAAAAUGUAAUCCCUGUUGGAUACAAAUGAGUUUUUGUAUGAAAGAGAAAUGAGAAUAAUGAAAUUACAAGAUACAAAGCCCGACUAGUGGCUCAAGGUUUCUCCCAAAGACUGAGAAUUGAUUAUGAAGAAACAUAUUCUCCCAUAAUGGAUAUCAUCACUUUCAGGUUCUUAAUUAGUUUGACCGUGUCAUAAGGGCUCGAUAUGCACCUUAUGGAUGUAGUAACUGCCUACCUAUAUGAUUCACUUGACAGUGAUAUAUAUAUGAAAGUCCCUGAAUGAUUUAAGGUGCCAGGAAUAAAUGAUACAUGUCCGAGAACUAUGUUCUCAAUUAAAUUGCAAAAAUCAUUAUGUGGAUUGAAACAAUUCGAACGCAUGUGGUAUAAUCGCUUUAGUGAAUAUUUGUUGAAAGAGAGUUAUAAAAAUGACGAUAUCUGCCCAUAUAUUUUUAUAAAGAAAACAAAUAUUGGAUUUGCAAUUGUGGCAGUUUAUAUUGAUGAUUUAAAUUUAAUUGGAACACUUGAAGAGCUCAACAAAAUUGCAGAUUAUUUGAGAAAUGAAUUUGAGAUGAAAGAUUUGGAGAAAACUAAAUUUUGUCUUGGAUUACAAAUUGAACAUUUUCCAGAGGGAUUAUUUGUUCAUCAAUCUACUUAUACAGAAAAGGUCUUGAAAUGCUUUUAUAUGGAUAAUGCACAUCCAUUGCCAUCAUCUAUGGUUGUUCAUCACUUGAUGUGAAAAAAUAUCCAUUUCGUCCACUUGAAGAUGGAGAAAAGAUUCUUGGUCCUGAAGGACCUUAGUGCAAUUGGAGUAUUAACUUAUCUUGCAAAUUACACUCGACCUGACAUAACUUUUUCUGUAAAUCUCCUUGCAAGAUAUAGCUCUACACCAACUCAAAGGCAUUGGAAUGGUGUUAAACAUUUUUUUUGUUACCUAAAAGGUACUAUUGAUAUGGGACUGUUCUAUUCUCAAAAGUCAGGAUCUGCUUUAGUGGAAUAUGUAGAUCCAGGUGAUCUCUUCGAUCCACAUAAAGCUAAAUCACAAAUAGGAUAUGUGUUUACACGUGGAGAAACAGCUAUAUCAUGGAGAUCUGUGAAACAAUCCUUGACAGCAACAACCUCAAAUCAUUCUGAGAUUAUUGCAAUACAUGAAGCAGGGCAAGAAUGUGUAUGGUUGAGGAAUAUGACCCAUCAUAUCCAAUCAUCAUGUGGAUUGACUUCAACAAAAGAUAGUCCAACAAUUUUGUUUGACGAUAAUGCAGCUUGUAUCGCACAACUCAAGGGAGGUUAUAUCAAAGGCGAUAGGACGAAACAUAUUUCUCCAAAAUUCUUUCAUACACAUGAACUUCAGAAGAAUGGUGACAUUGAUAUUCAAUGAAUUCGCUCAAGUGACAAUAUGGUUGAUCUAUUCACAAAAGCGCUGCCAACAUCUAUAUUCAAGAAAUUAGUUCAUGAGAUUGGAAUGCAUCGACUCAAAGAUUUUCAAUGAUCAACAUCAGGGGAAGUAGCUGUACUCUUUUUCCUUCGCUUAGGUUUUAUCCCAUUAGGUUUUCCUAGCAAGGUUUUAAUGAGGUAGCAUUUAAUUUUAAUACUCCAAAAUAACUGUACUCUUUUUUCUUCGUUUGAUUUUUUUUCUCAUUGGGUUUUUAUCAAACAAGAUUUUAACGAGGCAGAUAUUUUGUAAUAUGUCAUUCAAAGGGGAGUGUUGUAAAUGGAAAAUCCAUUAAAGUUUAUUAGUGAAUGACAUUUGUACCCCUGUAGCCCUAGAAAUUAUUACCAUUGUAUCCCUGAUUCUUAUCUAUAAAUAUAGGGCUUUGGUUUUCAAUAAUACACACAAAAAGUUUAUUGAAUUUUUUCUAUUCUCUUUGAGUUUUCUCUAUUCUCUUUUCCUCUCAUUUUAUAACAUGAUUUAUAUUAUAACACAAAAUUAAAUAUUUAAAUGGAGGUUAUGGAUUGAUUAAUUCUCAUUAGUGUGGGGUUUAAAUUGUACACUAUAUAAAGGGAGGAAAAUCACAAUUUUAGAUACAAUUAGAAAAACACAACUCGAGAUGAUUGAUUCCAAAAUUAUUCUAUAUUAUUUUACCCUAUACUAUUUUGACAACUAGAUAAAGGCUCGUUCUUUAUCUCUCUAUGAUCGUGCCCAUAGAAGAAGAGCCACAUGGAUUUUAUCUUGGAGCCGUGUAGUGUCGAAAGAACCCGCACGAAGGGGAGGCAACACGACUUUAGGACAGCGUCGUCGACGUGACUCUCAAGGCUUGAUUUUCUAACCCUAUUAUUAUUUUAUAUUAUUGUUGAAUUAUGUUUAUGUCUAAUUGAUUAUAUGAUUAUACUAAUUUCUAAAUAAAUCUACAUACAAAUCACCCAAUUUUUCCAACAAUCUAAAGUCAUGUUGAAGUAUUGUGUGUAGAUAAAUCAUAUGUGUAAUCUUAGUGUACCUUGUGUUACCUCUAAUACCAAAUUAAUUUCCUUAUUGUUGCUUAGAAAUUUUGGACAUGCAUUCGUGCCUAAUACACAUAAUACACAUCUAUAGGUAGUGUACCAAGACCUGAAUUCUAUUGGUAAAUACCAACUGCUAGUAUACUACACAACUAACACAAGUGUCGUAAGCAACCUAUUUGUAUCUAACGGAAAGUUGGAUCUCCUAACCUGUUGUCUGUCAAGAAUCUCACCCAUAAGUAUUCACCAAUAAUCCAUUUAGCUCUCCUCAUGAGUAAUAGAUAAUUCUCUUGAAUUGAAGGAGAUAUAGAUGAUGAACAACUCUUGAGCAUCAAAAAUAUCCCUUAGGCAUCCUGUUCACCAAGCCUCAUAUUCUGGCAGAUUUAAAUAUUUGUUCUAGCACAAAAAUGGCAUUAAAUCCAUAGAAUUGUAAUACCCGUAAGAGAAAAUCCCAACCGAUGUAUCAAAAGCUUUACCAAUAUCAUUUUUUUAGAACCUUGAAACCAAAUCAUUUUUUUUCAAAGCACUAACACACUCUUAAGCCACUGCAAUGCACUCUUCAAUUUACUGCCCCUUAGCAAAUUGGUACUGAUUAUCUGACACAAUUUUGGAGCCAAUGGAACUUAAUCGAUUAGUUAGAGUGUUGGUGUUAAUCUUGAACAAGAAGUUGCCAGUGACUAUUGGCCUAGCCUCCUGAACUUUGGGUAUCAAAGUCAUAAAACUAAAGUUUAAGCCAUGCAGAACAAACCUAAUCGUGAAGAAAUACAGUAUUGCAUAUUAGAUUCUGGAAAAUUAGUCAUGGACGUAAAUAAACCAUCGAGCAUGAGUCUUAAUAUCCUGAUACUGAAUGCAGAAAUGAAUUAGUAUCUCACAAGAUUGAUUGUUGGAUGCAAUAGAUCAGGUUUUGGUGGUAAGACCAUGUUUCAUGCAAGAUUAUGCAAGUGCAUUGAAUAGGCAAGUGUCUAUAUUAUUUUCACGUGUAACAAGUUAAAUGCUGAAAUCUUAGAGUAUUUUAAAAUAAAUUUGGUAUUUAGUCAUGCACAUGAAUCUAUGAAAUAUUUUGAUUUCACAGAAAUUAUAUGAUUUGAUUAUAAACAAAUGGCUAAAAGAUUUAAACUUUAAUAAUGUGCUUAAUUAAUAUUUUAAAAGAGGUGUAUUAUCAUGACUAAUCUGCAUAAUUUUGUUUACAUCCCAAGUGUAACAUAAAAAAAGGAAGUUAAAUUAAAACCUUCUUAAAUUUUCAGUUUUAAUAUAAAGUUAAACAAUAUAAAGUUAAAAAUCUUAAUUAUGGAGUGUAACUUACCUUUUAAAUGCAUUAAUUGUGGGUGGUAGGGCAUAAGCCUUCAUGUUCAUAGGUUAAUUAUAAAAAUUGAAUGUGUGUGUGUGUGUGUGUGUGUGUGUGUGUGUGUGUAUAUAUAUAUAUAACAAGACAAAAUGAGAUUUCCUGGUGGAAGCAAAUUAAUAUUUUAGUUUGUGAAACAGAUAGUCAAGUGAUGUUACUAGGUAAUGUAAGAAAGCCAUGGUUGUAUUGAAAAAAUAAAAUAAAAUAAAAAUGACUGAACUAGAGUGUAAUGGAGCAAAACUAAUUUAUUGGUUCAGACAUUCAAGCCGUUUUGAAUUCAGGAAUGUAAAUUGUUACUAUACAAGAGCUACAUAUCAUAAGUGCAAAGAUAUAUGGGUAUAUUAUUUGUUAUCAAUUUAAGUAUAUAUAGCGUGUAUAAUAAGAAAGGAUGUCUGAAGCUUUAUUUCAUGAAUUUUGCACAAUGAGUUCAAGAACUUCAUGUCAUAAUUCAUGUCAUUAGAAAGGAUGUCUGAAGCUUUAUUUCAUGAAUUUUGCACAAUGAAUUCAAGAACUUCAUAUCAUAAUUCAUGUCAUGCAUUUAAAGGAUCGUAAACUGUUAAGUAGUUGUGCAAUAGUUCAUAUUAUGAAACAUGAAACUAAGAUCUCAUGUGAGUUCUAUCUAUGACUAUUUUAUUGUAAUGAUAUUGACGUUUUGUGCAAUUUGAAGAUUGGAUAUAUAAUCUCUACCAAACAAGAGCUAUAUUGUUGCUUGUUUUAGGAGAUUAUUCUUUAGCUUUAUGACUAAUAUUUUGCGAAUGUGUUUAAGGAAAAGUUACAAAAUAUUUGGUUUGAUAAACACGUGCACCAACCAUCUCCUCACAACAUGUGAUCUUAACAAAUAAAUGAUUUGUAAGAUCAUAUAUUUACCAAGAAAAGAUUGAUAUCUUUGAAAUGUGGGGGUAUUAAAAAUAUUGGAUAUCUGUGUGCUUUAUCCAUAAUUAUCCAUAAUUAUUUUGGAAUUGACACAUUUAUCAAAAUGUUCACAUUAAAUAUGAAGUUUGCAGCUGAUAUGCAAGAGUUCAAUGGAUUCAUCUGCUCGAUCGUAUUACUAAAAUCAAUAUUAAAAUUCGUAUAUUUAUCUUAUUAAACUUAGAUAUGUGAUAUUCAUAUUUUGGAAAUUUUAGAAGAUUUUGCAGAUUUACAGGUGAAGAAUAAAAGUUUUACAAAUUGAUGAUACCAAAUUAUUGUUUAAGAGGGACAUGAAUAUAUGUAGUCCGAGAUGGACAUACAUAAAUCAUCGAGGGGGAUGGGUUUAAGCCCAUAAGGAAGUCACCUCCGGGAGUAACCCAACCUUUGUGAUUGGAGAUCCCAUGAAGAAGGUUCAAUGUAGUAGAAACAAUCCGUAUUGCGUGACUUGUAAUAGCACUAUUUAUAUUGUGCUCAUCCCUAUGGUGAUAGUGCUAAUGAUAAUGUAAUGUUAGGGAGGGUUUAACCCUGAAUGAGUACCGAAGCGAGAAUUCUCGCGAAGUGUGGGUCACACACACUCUUAGAGGACUCACCUAUGUAAGAGUUGUCAUGAGACCGUGGCUAUGAGAUUGGGCUAUUCUCUAGAGACUCUUACUAGAAUCAAGAUUAGAGUGCAUGGCCAUUAAAAGCACUAACCGUUAUGAACUAGAGCCUAAAUCAAUACUGUGUGUGGAGCAAUUGAAAUUUGAUCAAAGGGAUCGAAUUCAAGACUUAGUCCAUUAUGAUUCCCUCAAAUGGAAAUUGUUAUCACUAAGCGAGGUUCAAGUCCAAAAGACAUCUACACCUAUUGCACAGUAUUAUGUUGCCGCUAUUAUAUAUUUUUUAAUUAUUUUGAAAGCUUAAAACUUGUGGGGGAUUGUUGGAAACUAUAUUAAGUUUCAACUUUCAAAAUUAUUAUAUUUUUAAUUUUCAGUUUUGGGUUUAAUUAAAAUCUUAAUUUAUAUUAUAACAUAAAAUUAAAUAUUUAAAUGGAGGUUAUGGAUUGAUUAAUUCUCAUUAGUAUGGGGGUUAAAUUGUACAUUAUAUAAAGGAAGGAAAAUCACAAUUUGAGAUACAAUUUGAAAAACACAACUUGAUAUGAUUGAUUCCAAAAUUAUUCUCUAUAAUUUUACCCCAUACUAUAUCGGCAACUAGAUAAAGGCUCAUUUUUUAUCUCCUUAUGGUCGUGCCCAUAGAAGAAGAGUCACAUGAGUUUUACCUUGGAAUCGUGUAGUACCGAAAGAACCUGCACGAAGGGGAGGCAACACAACUUUAGGACAACGUUGUCAACUUGACUCCCAAUGUUUGAUUUUCUAACCCUAUUAUUAUUUUAUAUUAUUGUUGAAUUAUGUUUACGUCUAAUUGAUUAUAUGAUUAUGCUAAUUUCUAAAUAAAUCUACAUACGAAUCACCCAAUUUUCCCAACAGGGAUUCGGGUGGGUUUAUCGACUUGAGAACAUGUUGUAUAAAAAAAAUCCAUCAUACUUGAAUAAAGGUAUUAGAGGUGAUUGAACAUUUUAUCUUAAAAAUUAUAACUAGACAACUCGAUCUUGGUUUCAAGAACGCAAGUAAUUUUUUUCCCUUAAUAAGUAGGCAUUUAAGCAUCACAAUAAACACAAGAAAUGUGAUUCAAUUGAAAGAACAAAAAAGAACCAACGUGUAAUUUUUUUUGACCAACUCGAGUUGAAUUUUUACUUCAUUUAUCAUGUGCAUUUUGUAUUUACUGAACAAGACACCAUUUUUUCAAUGCAUAUUUCAAAGUUGUGUUGAUUAUUUUGUAUCAGAAAUUUCAUUAAAAUUGCUCAAUAUCCCUCAUUAUGAAUGGCUAAGUUGAAAAGUUUUAAAGUUAAGUGAUCAAAUUGAAGAUUUUGAAAGUUGGAUAACCAACAAGCACUACAAAACAAAUAUGUAAUUUUGAACGUUGCAAAAAAUCUGAAAUAUGUAGUUUUGUUUUUGUAAGAAUCAGGUGAAAGUCGCAGAGGUUGACUAUAUCAACAUUCAUUAAAAUUAUGGUUGCAAAUCUCAAUUUUGUUAACUAAAAAAACAUACACUCAGUAACUACUGUGAUAGAUCUCUUUCGACAGUAGUCGUUGAAUGAAUGUUACCAUUUACAUGUUGGAAAAUGUCAUUUUCUUUAUAGUGAAGGUAUCUCUCUUUACCCUCAAAAUUAUGAAUCAAGUAAAGUUGAAUUAAAUACGAUUUUAUCCUCCUCAAUUCACUAAUCGUUUUCUUCCUUGCACGCCUAUGUCCAAAUCGAAUAACAUGUUGGAUGAUCCUCUUUAAAAUUAGUUAUGCUUUUGGCCCAAAUUGAGAUGAGAUAAUCAAUAAUUAGUGUCAAGCUCUCCAAAAUUCAGAUUCUUUUUUCAUCCGAAAGAAAGUCAUCCUCAAUCGCCUGAGGACUUGGUGAAAUAAGAGCACCUUUGAUCCCUUGACCUAAUAUUUCUUAAUCAUAUACUUUAAGUGGGACUACCUUUUUUUCCUUCACCAAUUUUAGUUCGAAAGACAUGUGAAGUAAGAAUUAUCCUUUUUUUUUUCUUGAAAAAGUCACAAUGAACGAGAAUUAAUCGUCAUGAAUUACAAUGAUUAACCUAAUUAAGAGUCUCUCAAUUCCAACUUUCUCUCUCUAAUCAUCCUUGGAAUUCCCUUUGUCUACCUCUCUCACUCAUCAAACCUUCUCAAUCCCCCCGCCCAACCAUCAUAUGUAUUUAUACAUACACCCAAAGCGAUCACACAUCAUCAAGAAUUAUACAUGCUGUUUAGAUUUUCCUUCGAAUGAAUGAAGAGGAAAUCAUUAUACCAAAUUCCAACCCACAAAUAUUGAUUUUGUA
rnacentral:lncRNA from 1 species